CUCUCCUGUUCCUUUUUAUUUUUCCCUACCAUGGAGGACGAGGACCUGUCAUUGCAUUUGGAGCCCACUCUAAUCCAGGAUGAUCUCAGCUCAAGAUCCUCAACUUAAUUACAUCUGCAUGUAUGCGGUGGCAGCUUUCUGGCGAUUUCUAGGCAAUGUACAGGAGGAAAGAAAGAAGGAAGGGGAGGGCACGGAGAAGCUCCGGAAGGCUGGAUGCUUGGGGAAGGAGGUCAGGAGGCAGGACCGGCCGGCCGCCCUCCAGACGUCCAGAUGUCCAGAUGUCCAGCCAGCCGGAGACCGGUCUGCACCUGUCACAGGUGAUUCAGGGACAAAACUUUCCUGAAACAACAAGGCUCAAAUUAUAUCAUAAUUACAGACAUCCGUCGGCAAGCCCGCGUUUUAUUUCAAGGCCGGGAGCUGAAAUGAUCGUGUUCAGUCACGCACACCAUCUAUGACAAGACGGAGUCUCGCUCUGUCACCCAGGCCGGAGUGCAAUGGCGCGAUCUCAGCUCACUGCAACCUCCACCUCCCGGGUUCAAGCGAUUCUCCUGCCUCAGCCUCCCGAGCAGCUGGGACUACAGGUUCCCCCCACCACGCCUGGCUAAUGUUUGUAUUUUUAGUAGAGACGGGGUUUCACCCCGUUGGCCAGGAUGGUCUCGAACUCCUGACCUCGUGAUCCACCCACUUCAGCCUCCCAAAGUGCUGGGAUGACAGGCGUGAGCCACCGCGCCCAGCCCUAUUUUUUUCUUUUUUGAGACGGAGUCUCGCUCUGUCGCCCAGGCUGGAGUGCAGUGGCACGAUCUCGGCUCACUGCAAGCUCCGCCUCCCAGGUUCACGCCAUUCUCCUGCCUCAGCCUCCCGAGUAGCUGGGACUACAGACGCCCGCCAGCACGCCCGGCUAAUUUUUUUUUUUGUAUUUUUAGUAGAGAAGGGGUUUCACCGUGUUACCCAGGAUGGUAUUGAUCUCCCGACCUCGUGAUCCACCCGCCUCGGCCUCCCAAAGUGCUGAGAUGACAGGCGUGAGCCACCGCGCCCAGCCCUAUUUUUUUCUUUUUUGAGACAGUCUCGCUUUGUCGUACAGGCUGGAGUGCAGGGGUGCAAUCAGGGUUCACUGCAGCCUCGAACUCCCAGGCUCAAGCGAUCCUCCUGCCUCAGCCUCCCAAGUAGCUGGAACCACAGCUCCGCACCACCACGCCCCGCUAUUUUUUGUGUUUUUUGUAGGGACGGGGUUGCACCAUGUUGCUCAGGCUGGUCUGGAACUCCUGUGCUCAAGCGAUCCGCCAUCCUGGGCCUCCCAAAGUGCUGGGGUUACAGGCAUGCGGCCCCGCGCCGGCCCAGUCUUUCCCUCUCCCACUGCUUCCCAGGGCUUUGCCUGUCUAACCGGGCGCGGGCAGUUGUCCUGUGUCCUGGCUCAGCGCGGACCUACGCGGGGUGAUCACACAGAUGCCCCCAGCUCUCUCUACCUCCCGCGAAGGCGCUGAGCCCCCUGAUCCCUGCCCGGGCACUGGCGCAAGGUCGCCUGCGAGCGCCAGGCCUUCCUGCCCGGUGGGAGACGGGAGGGCCCGCUCUCUGGCUCGGUCUGGUUCCCGGGUCAGCCAGCAGCCGCGCCUCUUCCUCCCGGACCCGGGACCCGCCCCUUGGCCGGGGCCGCGGCCGCAGCGCCCCCGGAGGGGCCGCCCUGCGCAUGCCCGAGGGAGGCGGGUGACCUGGGCGCGCGCUGCCCGAGGCCGGGGGGCGGUGGGGACAGCACAGGCGGGGCGGCCGAGCCGAGACCUUCCCACCCCGCCCCACGCGUGGUUGGGGACCUGACGCGCCGUCGUGAGUGGGGCGGGUGCAGGUGUCCCUGGGGGCCGGGGGCAGACACUGGUGCGGGACGACCUGCUCCCGAGGGGGUCCGCAGGCCACACCCAGAGAAACUGGGGCGCCUCCAGUCACCGCCGCGGUCCGCCCCGCCCGAGGCUUUGACCCCCUGAAUCAGCGUCGGGGCAGGGAUCCGCGUGGGGUGGAAGAGGCUGGGAAACUGGGGAGUCCCGGGCCUCCUCUGGAGCCGCCCGCCCUUGGCUGGCUGGUCCUUCUCUUCCGCGGCUCCCGCCGGGCUGGGCCCUGGGCCGCCCUCACUCCCUGCCCUCUGCAGCCUCCCUUGCGUUUGUCAUUCACUCUGCCAGGCUCUCCUUCUGCCUCCGCAUGCCCAACGAUCCGGAGAAAAACACGGACCAUGACAUCAAAAGGCCUUGGCAAAGGAAUCGUGAUUAUUGUGAUACAAGAUUCUGCACCUCAAAGGGGAACCCUGUAGUGAGUUUUGGAAAACGUACAAAGCCUGACUUACAGUAUGCCUGUUAUCUGUGGCGUUUCAUCUGGGGAACUUACUUUUCCUUGAUAGGGUAAACUAUUCUCAUCCAGAGUAUGUCCCUCAGUCUGUAAAAGUCCAUGGUGCCCUACAUCUAUUAGGGUAGUGAGGAAGGGCAGUGGGCAUUGGAUCUGCUUCUUUGAAAGCCCCCACCUGUGUUUAGCUUCUGUUAGAGGCCUUUGAACCAGAGCAACUCCAUCUUGGGUAGGCGCUUGGUAAAAUGAGGCUGAGACCUACUGGGCUGUGUUCCCAGGCGGUUGAGGCAUUCUAAGUCACAGGAUGAGAUGAGAGGUCGGCACAAGCAGUAAAGAAGCCGCGGCCAAAACCCACCAAAACCAAGAUGGUGAUGCGAAUGACCUCUGGUCGUCCUCACUGCUACACUCCCACCAGCGCCAAGACAGCUUACAAAUGCCGUGGCAACGCCAGAAUGUUACCCUAUAUGGUCUAAAAAGGGGAGGCAUGAAUAAUCCACCCCUUCUUUAGCAUAUAAUCAAUAAAUAACCAUAAAAAUGAGCAACCAGCAGCCCUCGGGGCUGCUCUAUGGAGUAGCCGUUGUUUUAUUUCUUUACUUUUUUUUUUUUUUUUCGAGAGGGAGUCUUGCUCUUGCUCAGGCUGGAGUGCAGUGGCGUGAUCUCGGCUCACUGCAAUCUCCUUCUCCUGGGUUCAAGCGAUUCUCCUGCCUCAGCUUUCGAGUGGCUGGGACUACAGGUGCCCACCACCAUGCCGGCUUUUUUUUUUUUUUUUUUUUU